GUCUGGGGGGCGGGACAGGCCAGUGGGCUGGGGUCAGCAGCUAGCACCAAGUGGUCCCGGUCCUUCCUGCCCCAUCGCGGCAGCCUGGCGGCAGCCUUUGGUGACUGGAGUGUGACCAUCCUGGGGCAGGGGCCAGGGGGUGCCGUGGGGCCUUGGCUCCCCCGAUCAAUCAGGACUCUGAGUGUGGCCAGGCCUCUGAGGGUGCAGCGUGAGGACUCCUCUGUCCCUCAGAGACAAGACUGCUCCUUUUGAGCCCAUCCUGGGUUCUGACCAGAAAGAUCUGACCCUCAUCCUCCAGCCCCGGGGCCCAGCCAGGGUUGAGCAGCCUCAGGCUGGCCAGAGGGAAGCCCUGCCCUCAUAUAUCCAGGGUGCAAACCUGGGAGCCCCGACUGCUGCCCUCAUCCCUGCCCCAGCUUUCUCUCCUAGGAAGGUGAGAAGCCUCCGACUCUGUGGCUGGCUGACCUAUGGACUCAGGACCAGGUGCCUGGCAGGGCAGCUCCAGGUCCUCCUGGCUAACAGGGCUGUGCUCACUGCCCCCACAAGUCUGAGUCCUUCUGCAGGCAGAGGAGGGAGAUGGGGCAGAUGUCCGCCUCCCAAGGUCCAGCCCAGCUGAGCACUGGUGGCCCUGCUCCAGGGAGGCGGGGCAUGGAGGCGGCCCGGCCCUGGCCUUCCAUGGGGAGGUAGUGCUCGCUGUCGGAGUAGCCAUCUCUGCCCAUCUCUCGCAUCUCCACGGACUGCGGAGCAGAUGGCGAAGCUGGAUGAGCCCUGGGGCCUGACCUCCAGAUCCCUGGUGUCUGCAGAUGGAGGGAGCUGCAGAUGGGGAAGUUGGAGAGAAUGGGAGCACAUGGAGGAUACAUGCACUUCCAGGAGCAAAAAGCUAAAAAGCCAGUGAUAAAACAAGACCUCAGUCCUACAGCCACAAGGACUUGAAUUCUGCCAACACCUGAAUGAACCUGGAAGUACAUUCUCCCCCACAUCCUCCAGAGAGGAGCCCAGCUUGGCUGACACCUUGAUUUCAGCCUCGUGAGACCCUCAGCAGACAGCCCAGUACAGCUUCUUGGACUUCUGACCUACGGGACUGUGAACUGACAAAUGGGGCUGUGCGGAUCAGAGCCAUGAGGGUGGAAUUGAAGUGGACGGUGUUGUCAUCUGCGACGGGCAGGUCCAUCCGCAGAAGCCGCUACAGAAAACGGAAGGCAAGUCAUUCCCAGGCAUCUCUCCUGGGUCUC